rnacentral:misc_RNA from 1 species
UCCGGCUUAUCACCGGCAGUUUCCUCAGAGUUCUCGCCAUUACGCGUUAGCAACAGAGGACGAGGGUUGCGCUCGUUGCGGGACUUAACCCAACAUCUCACGACACGAGCUGACGACAGCCAUGCAGCACCUGUGCUCCCUCCAGCCGAGCUGAAGGACUCUCUUUCAAGUGUCCGCGAGGGGCAUGUCAAAUCCUGGUAAGGUUCUUCGCGUUGCCUCGAAUUAAACCACAUGUUCCACCGCUUGUGCGGGUCCCCGUCAAUUUCUUUGAGUUUUAAUCUUGCGACCGUACUCCCCAGGCGGGGUGCUUAACGCGUUAGCUACGCUACUCAGGGGGAACCCCCGAACAGCUAGCACCCAUCGUUUACAGCGUGGACUAC